AUCCAUUCUUAAGAGACAACAGGAUUUCUUUUUCUUUCUUAUCUGAUAUGUCCUUGAUGUAAGGACUUUAUGUUAAAUGGAUUUUUAGAACUGGGAGAGGAACUGGGAGCUUGCUCCAUCCACUCCACGCAUCGGCCUGGUAUUGCAGUGCCUCUUUCGUAUUGUAGCCUGU
rnacentral:snRNA from 1 species